GAUGAACGCUGGCGGCGUGCUUAACACAUGCAAGUCGAACGAAGCACUUAAGAUUGCUUCUUCGGAUGACGUCUUUUGUGACUUAGUGGCGGACGGGUGAGUAACGCGUGGGUAACCUGCCUCACACAGGGGGAUAACAGUUAGAAAUGACUGCUAAUACCGCAUAACCCGAUAGGAUCGCAUGAUCCCGACGGAAAAGAUUUAUCGGUGUGAGAUGGACCCGCGUCUGAUUAGCUAGUUGGUGAGGUAACGGCCCACCAAGGCGACGAUCAGUAGCCGGACUGAGAGGGUGAACGGCCACAUUGGGACUGAGACACGGCCCAAACUCCUACGGGAGGCAGCAGUGGGGAAUAUUGCACAAUGGGGGAAACCCUGAUGCAGCGACGCCGCGUGAGUGAAGAAGUAUUUCGGUAUGUAAAGCUCUAUCAGCAGGGAAGAAAAUGACGGUACCUGACUAAGAAGCCCCGGCUAACUACGUG
rnacentral:rRNA from 1 species